rnacentral:pre_miRNA from 1 species
UAUCUACUCCCUCUUUUCGGAAUUACUUGUCUCGGAAAUGGAUGUAUCUAGAACUAAAAUAUGUCUAGAUAAAUCUAUUUUUGCGACAAGUAAUUCCGAACAGAGGGAGUACUCU